rnacentral:lncRNA from 12 species
UUAGUAAUUGGGUUUUAUGGGGCCACGGGGAUUUAUUAGGCACAGGAUUGCAGCACUGAAGGCACAGAGGCAUGCACAGGGAUGGGGACAGGGAUGUGUGCAGGGAUGGGAUAUGGAUGUGUGCAGGGAUGGGAUAUGGAUGUGUGCAGGGAUGGGAUAUGGAUGUGUGCAGGGAUGGGAUAUGGAUGUGUGCAGGGAUGGGAUAUGGAUGUGUGCAGGGAUGGGAUAUGGAUGUGUGCAGGGAUGGGAUAUGGAUGUGUGCAGGGAUGGGAUAUGGAUGUGUGCAGGGAUGGGAUAUGGAUGUGUGCAGGGAUGGGAUAUGGAUGUGUGCAGGGAUGGGAUAUGGAUGUGUGCAGGGAUGGGAUAUGGAUGUGUGCAGGGAUGGGAUAUGGAUGUGUGCAGGGAUGGGAUAUGGAUGUGUGCAGGGAUGGGAUAUGGAUGUGUGCAGGGAUGGGAUAUGGAUGUGUGCAGGGAUGGGAUAUGGAUGUGUGCAGGGAUGGGAUAUGGAUGUGUGCAGGGAUGGGAUAUGGAUGUGUGCAGGGAUGGGAUAUGGAUGUGUGCAGGGAUGGGAUAUGGAUGUGUGCAGGGAUGGGAUAUGGAUGUGUGCAGGGAUGGGAUAUGGAUGUGUGCAGGGAUGGGAUAUGGAUGUGUGCAGGGAUGGGAUAUGGAUGUGUGCAGGGAUGGGAUAUGGAUGUGUGCAGGGAUGGGAUAUGGAUGUGUGCAGGGAUGGGAUAUGGAUGUGUGCAGGGAUGGGAUAUGGAUGUGUGCAGGGAUGGGAUAUGGAUGUGUGCAGGGAUGGGAUAUGGAUGUGUGCAGGGAUGGGAUAUGGAUGUGUGCAGGGAUGGGAUAUGGAUGUGUGCAGGGAUGGGAUAUGGAUGUGUGCAGGGAUGGGAUAUGGAUGUGUGCAGGGAUGGGAUAUGGAUGUGUGCAGGGAUGGGAUAUGGAUGUGUGCAGGGAUGGGAUAUGGAUGUGUGCAGGGAUGGGAUAUGGAUGUGUGCAGGGAUGGGAUAUGGAUGUGUGCAGGGAUGGGAUAUGGAUGUGUGCAGGGAUGGGAUAUGGAUGUGUGCAGGGAUGGGAUAUGGAUGUGUGCAGGGAUGGGACAGGGAUGUGUGCAGGGAUGGGGACAGGGAUGUGCACAAAGCCCUGGGAAAUCUUUUUGCCAGCUGCCGCAUGAGCAGUGUGUGCUUUGCUCCUGGGGUUCCAGUCACACUCACCACUGCCCUGCCACUGCAAAGAUGAAGGGUAUUUGGGGACAGGAAUAACUCACAGCAGUUUUGGUCUUUUCUGGAGCUCUAGAAAUGGCUGUGUGCUCCAAGGCAU